rnacentral:rRNA from 1 species
GCUUAACACAUGCAAGUCGAGCGGUAAGGCCCUUCGGGGUACACGAGCGGCGAACGGGUGAGUAACACGUGGGUGAUCUGCCUCGUACUCUGGGAUAAGCCUGGGAAACUGGGUCUAAUACCGGAUAUGACCACAUGUCGCAUGGUGUGUGGUGGAAAGAUUUAUCGGUGCGAGAUGGGCCCGCGGCCUAUCAGCUUGUUGGUGGGGUAAUGGCCUACCAAGGCGACGACGGGUAGCCGGCCUGAGAGGGCGACCGGCCACACUGGGACUGAGACACGGCCCAGACUCCUACGGGAGGCAGCAGUGGGGAAUAUUGCACAAUGGGCGGAAGCCUGAUGCAGCGACGCCGCGUGAGGGAUGACGGCCUUCGGGUUGUAAACCUCUUUCGACAGGGACGAAGGGAAACUGACGGUACCUGUAGAAGAAGCACCGGCCAACUACGUGCCAGCAGCCGCGGUAAUACGUAGGGUGCGAGCGUUGUCCGGAAUUACUGGGCGUAAAGAGCUUGUAGGCGGUUCGUCGCGUCGAUCGUGAAAACGUGCAGCUCAACUGCACGCUUGCGGUCGAUACGGGCGGACUAGAGUACUGCAGGGGAGACUGGAAUUC